UCAAACUUGGUCAUUUAGAGGAAGUAAAAGUCGUAACAAGGUCUCCGUUGGUGAACCAGCGGAGGGAUCAUUACAGAGUUAUACAACUCCCACACCAUUUGUCAACUUACCAGUUAUGCCUCGGCGUGAACUGCGUACGGAGGCAGGUCGGGUGUUACCCUGUAGCCUACCCUGUAGGUUACCCGGUAGCUACCCUGUAGGCUACCCUGUAGCUUACCCUGCACCACUCCCGCGCAGCCCGCCGGUGGACACUAAACUCUUGUUUUAUUGUAUCUUCUGAGCGUAUUAUUUUAAUAAUUAAAACUUUCAACAACGGAUCUCUUGGUUCUGGCAUCGAUGAAGAACGCAGC
rnacentral:misc_RNA from 1 species